CCGCCCGCCUCCUCUCCCCAAAGACAGUCGGCUCCCUCCACUACUGUCCUGAGCACGUGGCCGUUGACCGCUCUGGCCCUUCACUGCCCUGCCCUGUUUGGCUGGGGGUUGACGCUGCGCCGACCUUCCCCACCCAGAACCUUCCCGUCUCCCUCCCACCCAAACUGGCCAACACAGGGAGAAAUCCCAGAGCUGUGACUUCUGCUGGGAGGGGAAGAAACAGAAGAGGACACACUGACACUGGGAAACUGAGGCACCAAAGUACACAGGAGGGAGAGGAGAGUGGAAGUUUCUGGUUUAGGAGACCUAACAUCUGUGAAGAUCUGAAGUCAUCUCACCCGAGGCGCCCUGCUAAACCCAGAUUUACUCAUCUGUGAAAUGAGAAGUCGGGAGAACAUCCAUGCUUGUCACACAAGACUUCAAGCACUAGACUCAUGGGGGUGCCCGCUCAACAGUAGCUGUGCUAAUGCUAAUGGUAUUGGCCAAGGCAGGUCGGCUCCUCAAGGAAGCGAAGUUCUUAGUUCCAGAGCUCAGCCUAAUCCUUUACCGAGUGACCUCGGCCCAGUCCUGUAACCCCUGUGCUCCUCCUUCUCCUUGUGGCUAGGAUGUGGAUAUAAUCGCAGAGCCCACUCUCCAGAUCCCCAGUCCUCCAUUCCACUGGAGACACCACUAAAGAAAAAGAGGCCAACCAGGAGGUCCUCUCCGAAGACCUGCCCCCGAGUCGAGUCACAAAGGGUUUCUCUCCUCACUGAGUUUACCAGCAUUCUUCUUCUUCCUUGAGGGGCGUGGUCAUUAAGAGGAUUAAAUGAGGCUUGCAUAUAGUAUUUGAAUGAUGCUCAAAGUCAGUGAAUGGUGGCUCCGGACACGCUGAUGUGGUGAAGCUGUGUCUGAGGAUCUACCCAGAGUGGGGCAGAGUUGCAGACUGGGUUGCCCAUGGCAGUUGGAGUGUGUUAGAAGCUUCCACAUGGUAGGAUAUCAUUCUUAAAGAGGCAGUGAGUAUUCUCGGGAAGCAGGUCUUUGGUUGAAUACAAAGGGCUUCCCAUAAAAGCUGAAUCCCAGCCCUUUCCUGAUAUCCCCAAGAGAAGGGAAAGACCACUGCAGACCCCUGGGAUGGAAGGAGACGGAGCAGAGACAGGAAUGGCACCUAGGCUGGAUAUAUCUUCCAGCCCCUCACUCUGCCACCUCUCCUUCUGGUCAACUUGAGCAUCUGGAGUUGGCAACAGGCAAGUGUCCCUUCCUUAUCUGCCUCCUCAGUGUGGAAGGGCGCUUGAAGGAACAGAAGAGAAAUGUCUGCACCCUGCCCUGGCCCCCUGCAAGGCUCAGCUCGUCUGUAAAUGGAGAAGCAGGAGGAUGCAGAACCACAGACCUCAAACUUCCCUGAGAUCCAGCAAAUUAGGAUUUGUGCUAAACCUCCUCCCACCUCAGAGCAUAGCACUGGGGAAAAGCGAAACCUCCACUCUGGAGACAGAAGCCCCAGGAACCUCCCCCACAGGCAGGGAAGGCUCGGGCCCUUGGAAAUAGAGCGGAUCAGCCAAGGAGGCAGCCGGGGAGCCAGCAAGUGGCUCCUUAAGGCUGUGCGCUUCACGACCUAGUUGUCAACAGCCUAACAAGGCUAGGCUUCAGCCGCUAUCCUCCCAGGAUUGGCUCCCAGUCCCCACCGCUGUGCUCAAGGGCUGGAUGGGAAACUACAAUGCGAUGACUCCUUUCUUUUCAUCUUCUUCUUAAGGAAAACAACUCUCAACUCCCCGCGGAGCACAUUCCUUCACUGUGAAGUCUUCCCGAACCCAUCUCCCCCCGUCUUUCAGAAAGAAGAGAGCGGGGCUUGGCUGCCUCUUCAGUGAGAUUUCUAAAAAAGUCGCUGCUGAUGGCGGCAGUCGGAGAACAUGAGGGGGAAGAAGAGAGCUGACGCAAUCUACAUUUAUUAGCAGUGAGGGAAAUUAAUAAGGCAUACCAGUGCAAGGCCCACUCCAUAGACCCGGGAAGCCCCAGGGACCGCUGGAAAUCUGGUGGUCUCCGCCCUGGCGGAGUCUUCAAAAUACCUCAUCAGUUGCAAUCCUAGAUUGCCACAGCUGGAACGAGGCUUGGUCAUGGCCAUCAUCUAACGUCCCAAGGACAAAUGCUUUUUAUCACGCAUGCCAAAUCUAAUUGAUUGGUAGGGGUGGCCUGAAUCUCUAUGUUGAAAAGGAUUCUGAGGUAUCUGGGUCCCUUGGGAGAGGGGGACUGUAAUUGAUUGGCAGAUGUCUGCCAUGGGUGAAAGUGGAGGAGUGGCAGUGUUCACACCAUACGCUGCUGGCCAUGCCUCCCACAUUAUUGAUGGGGGAGACUGAGUCCCAGAGCCCAUCUUGUAUAAGGGUUUCCCCCCAGUCUUCUUGGGAAGCCAGCUGCUUUGGAUAAAUGGCACCCAGUCCUGACCUCGAGGCUACAGAUGUCAGAUCCAAGGGCUGUCUCCAGAAGCAAAGGCAACUAACAGCUUGGGUGAGCUGGGUUAAUUGCCAGUUUCCUGAAAACAACUGGUAGAUGCAGUUAUCACCUUGAACUGAUCGGUUGGCUCAACAGUUGCAGGUGACAUGGCAGGCCUUUACAGUCGACCUAAGACUAGUGGCCAGUUUGGUUAGGACAGGAUCUGUGGGAAAGAUUAACUAAAUAUUUGGGCACAGGACAAUAAAACCCCCAAAUAGUCAA